rnacentral:misc_RNA from 1 species
AGCAAAGUACUUGAACAUAGAAGAACAGGAAAAUUAUGCUGCAUAAACAUGCACCUCAAAUUUUUCUGAAUAUCAUAUAAAUAUCCAACUUAAGGAAAAAAAUAAAGAAAGAAAGAAAUACCAGCAGCGGUUCUUCAGCCAAUUAGCAAAAUCAAUUCCGAAUUUUACUUCCAAUACUGAUACAGUUUCACCCUACAUAGCAUUGACAUAAUAAAUUAUAUGUAAUCACA